GGAUGUGAGGAUGAUCUAGCCAUGAUUUCUUUCACAUCAUUGAAUUCUAGGGUUAAUUUGGCUGAUCUAGCUAGAUAGCUGCAGUCCCCUUCCCCACAGCCACAUGUGCAUCCCUUCCAGAGUUGUGCCUUUGGUGGAAGAAGAUGAUUGACCCCACAGAGGAGGGCUGCUCCUUGGCCGAGGAUAUACUAGUAGCUACGUUCCCCUGUUAGAAGCUCCAAACAAGCUCUCAAGAUAUAAAAAAUAAAUAAAUAAAAAUUUUUAUAGGGCUGGAGAGAUGGCUUAGCAGUUAAGCGCUUGCCUGU
rnacentral:snRNA from 1 species